GAUGAACGCUGGCUACAGGCUUAACACAUGCAAGUCGAGGGGAAACGACGGGGAAGCUUGCUUCCCCGGGCGUCGACCGGCGCACGGGUGAGUAACGCGUAUCCAACCUGCCUCUGACUGAGGGAUAACCCGUCGAAAGUCGGCCUAAUACCUCAUGGUAUCGUCUGCGGGCAUCCAACGACGAUUAAAGAUUUCAUCGGUCAGGGAUGGGGAUGCGUCUGAUUAGCUUGUUGGCGGGGUAACGGCCCACCAAGGCUACGAUCAGUAGGGGUUCUGAGAGGGAAGGCCCCCACAUUGGAACCGAGACACCGUCCAAAAUCCUACGGGAGGCAGCAGUGAGGAAUAUUGGUCAAUGGGCGAGAGCCUGAACCAGCCAAGUAGCGUGCAGGAAGACGGCCCUAUGGGUUGUAAACUGCUUUUAUGCGGGGAUAAAGUGAGGGACGUGUCCCUCAUUGCAGGUACCGCAUGAAUAAGGACCGGCUAAUUCCGUG
rnacentral:rRNA from 1 species